GAUGAACGCUGGCGGCGUGCCUAAUACAUGCAAGUCGAGCGAACGGACGAGAAGCUUGCUUUUCUGAUGUUAGCGGCGGACGGGUGAGUAACACGUGGAUAACCUACCUAUAAGACUGGGAUAACUUCGGGAAACCGGAGCUAAUACCGGAUAAUAUUUUGAACCGCAUGGUUUAAAAGUGAAAGACGGUCUUGCUGUCACUUAUAGAUGGAUCCGCGCUGCAUUAGCUAGUUGGUAAGGUAACGGCUUACCAAGGCAACGAUGCAUAGCCGACCUGAGAGGGUGAUCGGCCACACUGGAACUGAGACACGGUCCAGACUCCUACGGGAGGCAGCAGUAGGGAAUCUUCCGCAAUGGGCGAAAGCCUGACGGAGCAACGCCGCGUGAGUGAUGAAGGUCUUCGGAUCGUAAAACUCUGUUAUUAGGGAAGAACAUAUGUGUAAGUAACUGUGCACAUCUUGACGGUACCUAAUCAGAAAGCCACGGCUAACUACGUG
rnacentral:rRNA from 1 species